AAUUACUACGGCAAGUCUGAGUAAGUGAAGAUAUAGCAAAAUCAUGAAGGCUAUCUACUUAACUUUGCUGGCUGUUGUCCUGCUUUCAGGAUGUGUACAUGCUGGUGGAAGAGAGCCAAAGUGUCCAGGACAUGAUGUAUGCCCACGAAUCUUUAUUCCAGUAUGUGGAACUGAUGGAGUUAUGUAUACAAGUGAAUGUGAGCUCUGUGUAAAAAAUAAGAAACGCAAAGCCCAUGUACAAAUCGCCAAAGUUGGAAUGUGCUGAAGAUAUUCUUUCUUUAUCCAUGAAGU